UAUCAGAUAAUCAUAACAUUUUAUAGGCCCUAAAACAUCUCAUAAGGAAACCAUUCUUAGUAGUAGACUAACACAUUAGCAGACAACUGCAGAUUAAAAGGCAUAUAUUAGUUGAGUGAUUUUCACUUUCGAUCACUUUUGAAGGAGGUAAAUCUAGUCUUUUCCUUUAAUGCUGUGUGAGAAUUUAGAACAAUGAGAGUCAUAUCUGACUGAGAAAUAUGAGCCAGUUAAAUGUUACUGUUACAUGCUUUUUCAAAUUAAACCCUUUGGAUAAGCUGUGUUUUUUUUCACAACAGGAAGUUGGUCAUAAGGCUUUUAUAUAAGGAGGGUAUUACUAUAUAAUAAAUGUAGAUUUUAUCCGAAAGGAUGUUAAUCAUAAACUAGUGAAUUGUUAAUAUAUAUACGUGUUUUUAUGAAAAUACAGAAAGUUUAAUGAGCUCUUUUUAUCAUAGAGCUAUAUGAGGUUCAUUUGUAAUGUUGUUCUACUGUUUUUGAGUCGCAUUUGUAAUGUUCUGUUAGUUUGUGAUGUUGUUGUGUUGGUUUGUGUGUCUCAGUGCCUCUGAAGAGCAUCUCAGUGGAGCUUCUGGUUCAGGAUCAUGUAGCCACAGUCUCCUCCACUCUGCAGUAUGUGAAUGAGGAAGAGCGCCCCCUGGAGGCCGUGUUCGUCUUCCCUCUGCCUGCUGAUGCUGCUGUCUGCCACUUCAGUGCCAAGAUCAGAGAGCAGGAGAUUGUGGCAGAGGUGCAGGACAGAGAAACCCCACUCAACCAGCUCAGCCACCAGUGUCUGAACGAACUAAAUCUAAAUCACUAAUAGCUGCUCCUGAGCUCCAGAAGGACCUGUUACUGCAGCUGGUUUCUCUCCAAAAGGCGUCCGGCUGCUGGGAUCUGGACUCCACACUGGCUGAUGUGUUUGGGAAGACGGAUGAUCAGCUGACCAAUCAGAAACCAGCACAGGUGGAUGGGUCAGUAUGGGCCACUCUCCUGGCUCUGAUCUGGUUAUACGGCUGUAAAAUAGAGCAGCAGGUGGAGUGGCAGUUUGUGGCCAUGAAGGCAGCGUCAUGGAUCGGCUCUCAGAAAGUGGGAGAUCUGUCUCAGUGUGUGUGUGAGGGGAAUGUCCUGCUCGGAUGUCAGGUGACCAAAGAGACUCUGGGAAUCUGAAGACGUCAUUGUUUCUACAUCAUGAUCCGAAGACCAAAGAACAAAUACUUUUACAUUUAAUGUUGCUCUGUUACUUGAUUAAUAUUAAAUGAUAGCAUGCUCUCUGCCGAAUAUUCCUAUGUUUUUGCCUUUCUCCGCUGUCCCCAUUAACCCCCCACCCAACAUAUCGCUCCCUCGUCCUGUUUGUGCUCUCUCUCUCUCUCUCUCUCUCUACUGUUUGUACCUCUCUCUAUCCCUUAUGUAAUACAUGCAUAUGCAUAUGUUUAUAUCUCCUCCAGAGUUCAAAUGUUCAGAUGGGGACAAGGGUCUUCCAGUUUGGGUGUUCACUGAACCCAAUAUGAAUUGGCCCGUUUGGAUCCAGAAGUGUCAAGGGGUGAAGAAAAUCCUUUUGUUUGCCAAAUGUAUUUCAUGCACUUGUUUUUCUCCUUACAUUCAUAUUUGAUGUAGUGUAUACAAUCACUGUACCACCCCUUGCAAUGCAACUAUAUAAUCAACAGAUGUAAUAAUAAACUUUGAAGAAUUUUGUGAAGACAA